rnacentral:lncRNA from 1 species
GUUUGAUGGCUCGUUUUGAAGCUGAGACAUUAUCACAUAUGUGGUUAACUUUUCGGGGUACAAAGUGAGAUUACUUUUUCCGUAAAUUAGCAAACCCCGAGUAUCCUUUGUGAUGUGGCCCUCGUGGUAAAAAUCAAAUUUUUAACACAAUAGGUUCUUUGCAAAUUUAAUACUUUGAACACAUUAAUAGCUCCAUAGUUUUUACACAUUUAUUCUGUGUUCCCCUUCUUUCUAAAUUAACAUAAAUGAUUAAGCUAGUCACUUGUUUAUCAAAGAAACAUAUACAAUAUCACUACACUGAGAUUUUUUGUUUACACGUGACUUAUUUCAAGGCGCAUUAGGGCCCAAUUAACAAUGAACAAAAACCCGUACUGUUUAGUUCAAUAUUAUAAUGACCCUAACACGAAAAUAAUGGUGAAACCAUCCAUAAACAAACCGUCAUGACUUAAUUACGGUUUAAACAAUUACCGAUAAUAAAAAUGGAAAACAGUAAUCGCCUAAGAGGAAAAUUUUGUUAUAAAUGUCUUCAUUGCAUUUGUAUAAAUAUACAAACUGCAAAACAGAAUAUUUCUUUCGAAAUGCAGGAUUUUUCAAAAUUUUAGGAUAACUUUUUGGUCAAUGUCAAAACAUAUAUAUAUAUAUAUAAUAUUUGUUUUUUUAUUAUUCAUGAGUAUAAUUCUAAACUCACCAAUGAAAGCAUUGUAAUCAUUUGUACACAUUUAGCUUGAUUGUUCUCUCUGUAAUGUGUGUCUUUCAUUGACAAUAAAAUAUUAAACAAAAAA